rnacentral:lncRNA from 1 species
CCGAAGGAAUCCGACUGGCGCCCCCUUGUGCACAACCCGCGACAGUGAAGCCCCACAAGACGUUGUAUUUCAAAUCCUUUAAAUUGGCUUCACAAGAUCUUGAACAGAAAGCCUAAUUAUUUUCCCCCAGAGACUUGGAAAACAAUAGACUCCCCGCCCCUCUGGUACUGGGGAUUGAACCCAGGAUUGAGCCCAGAAAAGCGUUCUACCACUGAGCUACAUUCCCAGACUUUUUUUUUUUUUUUUUUGAGACAGUCACGCUAAGUUUUCUAACUGGCCUGGAAUUUGCCACACUCCUGCGUCCCAAGUUUCAGAGAUAGGUUCGCUCGUGGAUUCUUGAGGAAGAAACACCCACUACCACCACACACAUACCUCAAGACUAGAGGCUAAAAUUCUUUCCUGCUCAGUAUGGAAAUAUACCCAGAGGAUUCAUUCUUUGCCAAAGGUCACCUUCCCAGGAGGUUGGCCUCACCUGGACCUGGACCUCUUGCCCAACAGUGUUACUAGUAACAAUAGCAGCAAAACCAUUACCAUGUAUAUAUAUUACCAUGAAACAGUUCGUUUGCAAAGCAUUUCCCCAAACUUAGUGCCUUAGAGAAUGUGCUACUUAACAUGAAAAACAUGUGAGUUAGGCUACAUCACUCUCCAUUUUACCAGAAAUGGAACUUAGGAUUUUUCUUCAAGUUCAUCUACCUGGAGACAGUGGUCUACUGAUUGGGAAGAGAGGCUCAGUGGUCUACUGAUUUUACCUAGAAUUUCUUAUGUCCUGAGACUGGAGCUUCAUCCACUGGGAUUCAAACACUCAUCAGGUAACUGUGCUAAUACCAUUUAAAGUGCUCCUACCUGCUCUAUCCAGAAGAAAGGUCUUUCAUUUUUAUUACUGACUCAUGGAAACCUACUGUUCAGGGCCCUGGUUCUGAAGGAGAAAACACUCCUUGGUUUCCUUGUUUAAAAGUGAUAGGGCUCCCUGGCUGCCAUGAUGCUUGCCCAUAAUCCCAGCAAUUCAGAAGGCUGAUGCAGGAGGAUUGUAAAUUCAAGGCCAGUCUCCACAAUUUAUGGAGACCUUGUCUCAAAAAUAACAAUAAUAACAAAAAGGGCUGGGUGUAUAGAUCAGUGGUAAAGUGCCCUUGGGUUCCUUGGGUUCAACCACACACACAGACACACACACACACACAUUGUAGGACCCGGGUGUAUUUCAGAGGUAGACUGCUUGCUUAACCCAUGAGAGGCCCUGGGUUCGAUUCCCUAGCACUGCAGAAAAGAACAACAAAAAGAAAAAAAAAUCUCCAGUUAUGUCAGUUUAUAAAGUUGUUGGGGUUUUUCCCCCCACCCCCAGUACUGGAGAUUGAAAUCAGGGAUGCUCUACCAUUGAUUCUACCAUUGAACUUCAUCUCCAGCCUUUAAAAAUUAUUUAUUUGUUUGUUUAUUUAUUUAUUUAUUUAUGUUUUGAGAGAGGUCUUGCUAAAUUACAAGAGGCUGGCCUUGAACAUGCAAUCCUCCUGCUUCAGCCUCUGGAAUCCCUGGAGUUACACACUGCACCACUGUGCUCAACAGGUUGUUUGGCUUUAAAGAGGAAUUAUUGUGGUAUGCUCUACUUUAAGUAACAUUCAGUGAAUGCUAGCUCUAUCUAUUCCCAUUAUCUUUAACCCUAACUACCCUUCCUAGCUAGAUCCCAAGAUAGGUUUGCUGGUAUCUGUUCAUUCUUCAGCACUUAGAGAAACAGUACACAGGGCUGCCAUGGAGCUGGCAGCUUAACAGAAAUGUUAAGGACUACCAUAAAUGAAUAAAUGAAAGGGAGGCUUUACAGAAUGCUCUAUCUAGUCCUCCAGCAUCCCUUUUUCCUUUUCUUUCUCUUAGCCAGUGAUUUUGGGUUUUAUUUUACUAUAAAAUUAAAGGUUAAUCAGCUAGGCACAGGGGUGCACACCUGUAAUGAGAAUCAAGUUCCAGGUCAGCUUCAGCAAUUUAGUGAGACCCAAUCUCAAAAGUACAAAAUGUAAAGGGCUGGGCUCAGUGGUUGAACACACCUGGGCUUAAUCCCCAAUACCAAAACAAACAAAACCAAAAAUAAAACAAAAUGAACUUUUUUGACCUCCAAGACCUUCUAGUCCAUUGUUCCUAACUCCUGCAAGAUAUUCUAUUACAAGGUUCCUACUACUUUGUUUGCUAUCCCAGUGAUGGAACUUAGAUUGUCUCCAACUUACU